GACGCUGGUGGGAACCCUGUUUGGGCCGGGCAUCUUAGAUGCACUCCGUUGCCCUCUGCAAGCUCCUCUAUAUCCGGCGUACGCAACUGCCCCUUCCUUCCUCCGGCACCCCAAACCCUAAUCUUCUUUGAUAUCUUCUUCUUUAGUGUUGGAUGGGUGGGAUCGAUCGGUUCUAUGUUACCUUGCGUGCUGGGAUGAGGCCGAGGGCCAUCUUCGUGAAUCAUUUCGUAGGACGACGACCUCAAGGCGGCGGUUGACAAGAUGCUGCACAAGGCAAUGGCCGUCAACCAGUACAGAAACUUCUGUGUUCAAGAAGCAUUCUUUCUGAUCCCUCGCGUUGAAGGUUUGCGAGAAAUGAGAGUUUGUGGAAGAAUUGAGGGGAGAGGAUGCCAAGUAUCUACAUGAGGUGGUACUGUUAAGGACCAAAGAUUGAGAUGGUCGCGCUAUGUAAUUGAAGAUUGUGGAUGUAUUUUGAUGUUCGAAGGAUUCGAUAACAAAAUAUAUAUUGCACA